rnacentral:rRNA from 1 species
UUGAAUUUUAUAAAAAAUUAAUAAAUUUUGUGUUUUAGUAUGAUAAAGAAUUUUAUUUUAAUAUUAUAGUUAAUUAGUACGGUAACGGAAUUAUGUAAGAUUUAGGUAAAGUAGUAUUAAAUCUUCGUACCUUUUGUAUCAGGGGUAAACAAUAUGAUUAUAAUAUUUAUGAUAUCCCGAAACAAAGAGAGCUAACUUUUAUUGCUUUUCUUCGUUGUAAAGUGGUCUGUAAAAAACUUUAGUGGUGAUAUGUCAGUCGGUCUUUGUAUGUCUGGUUUUUCGUUAAGAAAAUUUAAUUUUGUGGUAAGUUAGAUAAAAGCUUGGUAGCAAGGGUAGGAGGAAUGAGCUUCUUAUCUUUUGUUUUGUUAGAUCUCUUUUGUUGUUCGUUUGAAAUGGGCUUAAAGUCAGCCAUUUUAGUAUAACGUUAAAGUAAUAUUGAGUUGUAUUUAUAUUUUUAAGAGGUCUGCUGUUAUUAGCGAAAAAUUUUAUUAAUUAGAAAAUUAAAAGAUAAAAUGUUUAUAUAAGUAUGGUUAAAGUUAUUUUUUAAGUUUAAAGUGAAAUUUGUUAUUUAAGUUUCGAUUGGCGUUAAAAAGGAACUCGGCAAGUUUUAUCUCCGCCUGUUUAUCAAAAACAUGUCUGUGUGAAGUUGUUAUAAAGUCUAGCCUGCCCACUGAUUAAUUUAAAGGGCCGCGGUAAUUUGACCGUGCGAAGGUAGCAUAGUCAGUAGUCUUUUAAUUGGAGGCUUGAAUGAAAGGUUGGACGAGAGAUAAGCUGUCUCUUUUGCGUGGUUUGAAUUUAACUUUUGAGUGAAAAGGCUCAAAUUUCUUAGUGGGACGAUAAGACCCUAUAAAACUUGAUAUAAGUUAAAUUGGAUUUGCGAUUUCAGUAAAAAGUGGUCCUUUUAAGUUUAUAUUUCGUUGGGGAGAUGUAGAUAUAAUGUGUAACUGUUUAUAAAACUAAAUAAUCAUAAUUAGUUUGUGAUCCUGCAGAUGUGGAUUGAAAGAGUAAGUUACUUUAGGGAUAACAGCGUAAUUUUCUUUGAGAGUUCUUAUCGACAAGAGUAGUUGCGACCUCGAUGUUGAAUUAAAAUUUUAGCUAGGUGUAGCCGUUUAGCUGGUAGGUCUGUUCGACCUUUAAAAUUUUACAUGAUUUGAGUUCAAACCGGUGUGAGCCAGGUUGGUUUCUAUCUUUUAUAAGUUUUAUAAUGGCUUUAGUACGAAAGGAUUGAGCUUUUGAGAUAGUCUUUGUGUAUGAUGAAGUAUAAUGG